rnacentral:lncRNA from 1 species
UAACUUGAAAGAAAAUGUUUCCAACAUUUUCCUUAAUUGUUCUUCAUCAUCGGAAUCUUCUGAAUCACUUCCGAAGUGUGGAAUCACAUUUUCUUUAUUAUCCUCAAUUUUUAUCUUUCCCUUUGACAAUUUUUUAUCGCUCUGAACUUUACCCUCUUCGAGUUCGCGAGACAAUUUUAUAUCUUUUUCAGAUUCUGCAAAAUACCUCGCAUCUUCAUAUCGUACUUCAUGCACUCCAAAUGGGCGUAUAUCACCAUCAAUUCUGAAUUCUUCUCCAUCCUUAAUAUAUUUCAUACAUUGAUGAAGAGUAGAGGGGACAACAUUAUACUCGUGCAACCAAGGCCGUCCCAAUAAUGCUUUAUACGAAGUAUCUGCAUUUAUCACAUAGAACUUUACAUCGGUCCGCAAUGCUCCAAAUUUUAUAGGAAGAAUGAUCGACCCGAGAGC